CGCUCCGCGGGUGCGGAGGGGUGUCCCGGCUGCUGUAAUGUACUUGGAUGUCUUUUUCAUACACCCAUUCAAGUCUGAUAUCACAGAGAAUAACUUAAUGCCCCCUUAACUUCAAAGUGUUUGAAGGAUCUUAGGACUUCUUUGUUGAGCUCCUCGUUCCCAGGACCUCCCGUUGUUGGCUUGUAUUAAUGAUGAAUUACUGAUAGGCAAUCCAAACAAAAAUCACUGCCCAUGUAAGAUCUUAAUCAAAAAGUAUACUAUACUAUCACCAAGGUGUCAGAACUGUGCCAAUAGUUCUAUAAUAAAAAGAAGAAAUGUACAGAAUUUCUAUUUUAAUACAAAUUUUUAGAGCUGGUGGAGGGGAAAGUCAACACUUUUCAAACAAAAUUAUCUCUUAGUUCCCUUAUUUUCAAGGUGUGAUGUACGGUUUCAAUAUGUAAAGUAACCGCCUUACCUGCCUUAAUUAAACUAAGAUAACGCAUUUGAAUGUCUAAUGUGUUUUUUUUCCAGAUCAUAUUUAAAUACGUGAUCUUAAUGGAUAAGAAAGCUACAGUGGUUACUCCAUCUCUGUUAACUACAUUGAAUACCUCGCCAUUUGUGAGUUGAUCUGAGGAACGUUUUGCUGCAGAGAAAGGAAGGGUCUUGGAAUGUUUGGGCAAAAGCUUCUCGAGUGGAACUGCAGUUUUACAGAAUGCAGCGUGUGCCCUCAAUCUGGAAAUCUCCCAGGAGAGAACAAGAACUGCCCGCUAACGCCAGGGUCAGGCUGGCUCCAGCCUGCAAUUGGGACGCUGCCGGCAAGGCUGGACGAGCGCUGAGGAGGCUCACAGAUCCCGCAGGAAAGAUUAGGUAAAGAUGUAGACUAAGAAGUGUGAAUGUGGUUGAAUGUUCAUGUGACCGUAAAACUUGGGCUUCAGCCUCUGCCCUGAGACGUGCCUGUUCCAGCCUGAGGGAGGCUGCCCGUGGUGUUCUGACCCCUCUCUGUGCCCAGCCUGAAGUUAAACAGCCAUGGCUCCAGCUAAAGGCUCAGCUGCUCUCUAAACUUCUCUGUUUGUCCAUCAGUUUAUACCUGGAAGGCCUGAUAAUUUCCAAGAGUACUCGCUGUCAAUGAAGCCAGAUUUUGGUAGUCGUUAUUGAAUUAUGCUUUUAUUUUCUUAAGCUUGGCUCCUCUUCUUCCCUCACAACGUGGCUGUCAGUGCUGCUGGCAGCAGCUGCUUCUCCUUGUGUUCCACCAGCUGUUGCUGGGGACAGGCCUCCAGGCCAUGCUUCCCUCUGAAAAUGAGAGAGUUACCUUAGUGACAGGCAAUUUAUAAACACAUCCUUACGGCUGUGCAGGACUCCAGAGCGGAUCCGUAGUUCACCUCAUGGCUCCUAUUAUUAACCUCGAAACUUGCAGUUUGUACAGUCAACAAAGUUUGAGUUAUCUAAUUGUGUAUGUGCUUGAACACGAUAAACGUUAACACCGUUGUGGAGUAAAAGAGCCCAAUGUUGAGCCCAGGAAAUACCAAGUUCUACUGUUAAGAGAAAUGGAGUUCAGUGGUCGGUCAUGCCGAAGUGGAAAACUUCUGUUUCAGCUUGGCCAUCUGGAUCUGUCACGUGAUCCCAGUAGUAUCCACAGGUAUUUCCAAUUCCUGUAGCGUAUCUAAAGAAAUGGAUGUUUAUUUAUAUGACUAAAAUACACUGCAAAGUAAAUUAGCUUUAAAAAUGCAAGAUGAUUUCUGUAUAUAAUUGUAUAUAGAAAUAAGUCAUAUUUCCAUUUAAAGAUUUUUUCAGGGAAUGUAUACAUAAAUAAAACCAAAACAAUACCUGUGUUAUGGUUUGGG
ensembl:lncRNA